rnacentral:lncRNA from 1 species
AGUUGUUAUCUGCAUGAAAGCCAUAUGUGUUGCCCGACACGUAAUGGUUCAUUGUAAGGGCCACCUCAUGUUCAUAAUUUGCAUUUUCUGCAUCAUUAAUAAAUGGAUAUUUUUCAGUCAAAAAGCGGUGUUCCCUGUUUUUCAUUUAUUUUUGCAGUUUAAAAACAAAUAAAAAUGGCAAUGUUUAUUUUCAUUUUUUCUCCUUUUU